rnacentral:rRNA from 1 species
UACAGAGGGUGCAGGCGUUGUUCGGAAUUACUGGGCGUAAAGAGCGCGUAGGCGGCACGGUACGACCGGUGUGAAAGCCCCCGGCUCAACUGGGGAGGGUCACCGGUUACGGUCGUGCUAUGAGUGCAGGAGAGGGAAGUGGAACUCCGGGAGUAGCGGUGAAAUGCGUAGAGACCCGGAGGAACACCGGUGGCGAAGGCGGCUUCCUGGUCUGCGACUGACGCUGUGGCGCGAAAGCUAGGGGAGCAAACGGG